GUCUUUUUGAAUUAAAUUUAAAGUCUAACCUGCCCACUGAAAAUUUUAAAUGGCCGCAGUAUUCUAACUGUGCAAAGGUAGCAUAAUCAUUAGUCUUUUAAUUGAAGGCUGGAAUGAAUGGUUGGACGAAAUAUUAACUGUUUCAUUUAAAUUUUUUAUAAAAUUUUAUUUUUUAGUCAAAAAGCUAAAAUAAAUUUAAAAGACGAGAAGACCCUAUAAAUCUUUAUAUUUUGUUUAUUUUAAUUAUAAAGAUUAUUUUUAUUAUAAUAAAUUAAAAUAUUUUAUUGGGGUGAUAAUAAAAUUUAAAAAACUUUUAAUUUUAAAAACCAUUAAUUUAUGAAUAAUUGAUCCAUUAAUAAUGAUUAAAAAUUUAAGUUACUUUAGGGAUAACAGCGUAAUUUUUUUGGAGAGUUCAUAUCGAUAAAAAAGAUUGCGACCUCGAUGUUGGAUUAAGAUAUAAUUUUGGGUGUAGCCGUUCAAAUUUUAAGUCUGUUCGACUUUUAAAUUCUU
rnacentral:rRNA from 2 species